UCCGUCUGUAGUUAUAGGUUUCCGUGUCCAAUAUUUAACUAUUCGUUUUAUUUAAAUUUUUUUAUGAUUAAUAUUUUUUUGUUGCUAUUAGAUAAUGCGUGAUUUAAUUCUUUUUUCAUAAAUUUUUAAAUAAGAUGGAUGAUCAAACGUUAGACACAAAACUCACAGCUACGUUUUAA
rnacentral:pre_miRNA from 1 species